rnacentral:lncRNA from 10 species
CAGGCUUGCUGGACAAAACCCCACUACAGGUAACACUUAUACAGACACCACUCUACUAUACAUUUAAAAAAGAAAAACACACACACGCACGCACACACACACACAAACCUUCAAAACCCUAAUAAAAAUAGGGCCACUUGCUGGAGCCCAGUUUGUAUUAGACAUUAGGAAGGUCUUACUUACAUUGUCUUAUUAUUUACACUUUCAAUUGCAAUAAAGAAAAAUUAGGAUGCAAGUUUCUUACAAAGGAUUUUUAUAUUUAAUUUUAAAAUGGCUGAUAAAAUACUAAAGCCAGAAUCCCCAAAAGGUGUUUGAUUGCCCAGUUACCUUAUUUACAAAACAAAACAAAACAAAAACAGACAAAAACAAAGACCUCAAAAAAAUAAUAAAGACGGCAUUUAAAUAUGGGUACUUAGCUGACUCUACAAAUAAAAAACAAAGAAAAGUUUAUUUUAACAUGGUAAAUUAUUUGAAAAUGAGAAAACAAAACAUGUGUUUGCAUUAUCCUAUUCCUCCCCAUUGGCUGGCUCAAGGGGAUGAAUGAGUUUCAGGAAUUAGACAAGUCUGCCACACUAACAAACGCUUCAUGAGAAUUGCUGAUUUUUGUGUGUCCCAAAAGUUAAAAAUAAUAAUAAUUAAAAAAAUAGGGCAUUUGCCCAGUAAAAAUAGUAAGGAAGGUAGAAUCACACAUCGGUUUUAGAGUUAUUUGAUAUUGCAAAUACUGGGACUUGACUUUUCUGGAAAUUAGAAUAAAACAGGCCAACCACAGGUCAGUGAUAAAACAACAAAAUCUUAGGAUGUUGAGGAUACUGAAUUGGCCCAAGAAAUAAAGUCAAGGAGAACAUUUGGAAGGAAGGUCUUUGCAGUACCUUACUGUGCUAAAAUCACAGAGUAAAAAAGUGAGAGAUGAGGAUACCACAGGCAUUACUUUGUUGACCUUGUACAGUACUGGAAAGUUCAUGAAACAAGAUAAAUGAAUACCAUGCAGUAUUAACCCUAACCAUGUUGCAUAAAUGGUAAUUUGGAGAAUAUUUAAAGCAAAAGAGCAAACAACAAAAACUAAGUUAACACUUACCCAGUGCAGUAAGGGAAUUGUAAGAUACAGCCUGCUUAAGGAGGUCUGCAGACAGAUGCACCUAAGAUUUCAGCUGUUUUAGGUCACUUUUCUCAAAAUAUUUAUUAUCUGGCAAUGGGGAUGGGAGUGGGGAACACCUCUCUGUGAGGCAAAUGGUAUCUCAACAAAUACCGACUUUUCAAGGAAGAAAGCUCUCCACUUCUCUCAUAAACUUAUAUACUACCUUAAACAGUAUGCAGUAUUCGGCAUAUUUUUUAAAAAUGAGUCCAGAGAAAUAGAAGGAUAUAGUUACCUCAUAAAGUUAACUGUUAGCAACAGACGUCUUCGUAUGUGAUUUAUAAAUUUCUUGGCAAGAACAAGAUUUUUAGAAGAGGCUUACUCACACUUAAGACAGAGUGAAAAUUACUCUCACAGAAUGCAAAGUAUAGAAUAAUAAACAUCACCAUUACCUUUAAAUGCCAUACAAACAUCCUACAUUGCAGGUUGCAGUAUCAGGUUUCCAGAAUUUCCAAUAAGGCAAUACCUACACAAAUAUUGCCAGGCUAAAAAUGUAGCAAACUUGCAUUCCCAAACUGGGAGAAUCUAGCUUAUUUGUAAUACUUUGUGAAAAGAUACUAUGAAACUAAAAAGGUAACCGUGGAGUGGAAACUGCUACUAGAAAGUCUGUUAUCAGUAGCUACUUCUACUUAAGUCCUCCAUUCUCUCCCAGAAGAAACAAACCAAACAAAAAGCAUCUAUCAAUAUUAAAACCUGCCUCAAUAAAAGCCUAGUGUUCUAACUUAGCACCUCUAGUAAAUCUAAUAUAGCUGCUGCCCCUACGUGCCAUGGUAGGCUAAUUUGAGGACACCAUCUUAUAAUAAAUAUACUUCUCCCCUAAAUAAUUGCGAUUUCUCCCUGUACCUUCCUUCCAACUGGAAUAAAACAUUUUAAGUAGUUAUUUUACUUUAGUAAAUAUUUUUAGAAUUCCUAUUUGAGAAUUUGUUUUCCUUUGACAGAAAACAUAAUAUAGGCUAGGCUAAUGAAUUUUUUUUUUAUUCUACUGGGCUUUCUUCAUCAUGAAUCAAAUCUCACACCUCAGUAUACUGACCAGUCAAAAGUCUCUAAAGAGUUUUCUUUACAACUAGAAUACUUCCUAUUAUAAGCCAUCAAAGUUGCAAACAAAACAACAUUAGUAAAAGAGCUCCCUCCUGUAAUUCUAGGAAAAAUGAAUCACUAUUUUGAGAAGGUACAAAUAUGAAUUCAAAUAUUGUAAAGGAAGAGGACUUCGAAGUUAUUUCACAAACUCCAUAAAUUCCUUUCAAAAUAUUCUCAACCACAUUCUCCUCCUAAAACUUAACUCAGCCCUCCAGUCCUAAAUUAUCUACACCCAAAACACCUACCUGACACCAGUACAGCUGGCCCUCAUAUUAAAAAUCCAUGACCUAAGCUGAAUUUUAAUAACUUUGAAGAGGAACAGAGAGAUACACAGGAGGUUAUAUCUAAUUGUUACAUAAAAUGACCUCAAAGGAUAUACUUUAAAUUCUUUUUUUUUUGAGGCAGAGUUUCGCUCUUGUCUCCCAGGAUGGAGUGCAAUGGCGCAAUCUCAGCUCACUGCAACCUCCGCCUCCCGGGUUCAAGCGAUUCUCCAGCCUUGCCUCCUGAGUAGCUGGGAUUACAGGCAUGCACCAACAUGCCCAGCUAAUUCUGGGAUAUACUUUAAAUUCUAUCCAAAGCUAACAAUGGGUACAUCAGACUCAACUUGGCACCAUCAAAACAAAGUUAAAAGGUUAAAAUGGGAAGGACGAUAAAGAGAAUAAAGAGGAAAUGAAGCUUUCCCCUUGAUAUUUUAGCUCAUUCUAUAUUGUAAUCUUACUAUUUGCUUCCUUUGAAAGAAUACUAAGGAGUUAGUGUUGGGUGAUAGCUUUGGGUGAUAAACUGAACUAGAAUGGUUUUCAUAAUCUCUAACACAGUGUGCAACACGGAUACUAAAAUGUGUGAAAAACUGUCUUCCACAAUAUGGUUUUCUCUUGGUCCACUUUACACAAAGUUAAAUAGUGACCAAAAAUAAAAGCAUCUAUAGUUUUAGAAGAAAAUAGCACGUCAAAUUUUUGGAGUUAAAUGUGAUUGUCGCCACCAUGCCCGGCUAAGAUGAGACUAUGCAUGCACCUGUGUGUGUGUGUACAUACACAUCCAUGUACAUACACACACCUUGGUUUAAAAAUCACUUGAGUAGGCUGGAUACAGUGGCUCACAACUGUAAUCGCAGCACUCUGGGAGGCCGAGGCGGGUGGAUCACCUGAGGUCAGGAGUUCAAGACCAGCCUGGCCAACAUGGUGAAACCCCAUCUCUACUAAAAAUACAAAAAUUAGCCGGGCAUGGUGACAGGUGCCUGUAAUCCCAGCUACUCUGGGGCUGAGACAGAAGAAUUGCUUGAACCCAGG